rnacentral:lncRNA from 1 species
GUCAACUCAUUUCAACCAAAUAAAAUCAAUUCAUAUAAAUCGAGUAAUCAACAUGGCUUAUGAAUUUCUUAAAACUUUGGCUCGUGCCAAAAUCAUUCUCAUACUCAGUUAUUAGGGAUAUCUUGAUCGAGGGCUAUCCCAACCGAGUCCGCCAAGGCUGUUAAAAAGUUAUGUACGCAUAAAUCAUGUUUUUAUUUUGAAAAUAUAGUCGUUCGUUGGCGUUGGCUGAGUUCACCUUCACGUGGUGGUUUAGCGUGAAGUGAACUCUAAAGUGUUAACCUCAGGAGUUAUCCAUCUGCGCCUCUCAUACUGAGGUAUGAAUAUAAUAGGGUUACCGUACCCCUCUAAUAGGCUGGUCCACAGAACCCGUCCACUGCAGCGACCAAUAUAUAACCCACCAAUUCAAUAAAAUUCAAUAGCAUGAAAUGACAAUUAUUUUAUUUUACAACCUCUCAAGGCAAAUUAA